UCUGGAUGCAUCAGCGCCUCGUUCAGCACUUUCACCCCGGAAUCUCCCAGAUUAUUGUCAUUCAGUCUGUGGUCUUCAGAGCUUCGGACAGCAGCUUCACUCCCGAAUCUCCCAGAUGAUUGUCGCCCAGCGAGAGUGCAGUCAACGAGGGGUUAAUGCCGAGAGCCGAGGCCAGAUGCUCGGCUGCAGAGGCGGUGAGGCUGUUGUCAUUCAGACUGGGGAACGGAGAAAGGAAAGAGGAAUAGAAAUCGGCACGGUAACUGGCCCAUCC